rnacentral:rRNA from 1 species
GACGAACGCCGGCGGCGUGCUUAACACAUGCAAGUCGAACGAUGAAAGUGGAGCUUGCUCCGCUGGAUUAGUGGCGAACGGGUGAGUAACACGUGGGCAACCUGCCCCAGACUCUGGGAUAACUCCUCGAAAGAGGUGCUAAUACCGGAUACGAACUCCUUGGGCAUCCUUGGAGUUGGAAAGCUUUUCGGUCUGGGAUGGGCCCGCGGCCUAUCAGCUUGUUGGUGGGGUAGUGGCCCACCAAGGCGACGACGGGUAGCCGGCCUGAGAGGGCGACCGGCCACACUGGGACUGAGACACGGCCCAGACUCCUACGGGAGGCAGCAGUGGGGAAUAUUGCGCAAUGGGCGAAAGCCUGACGCAGCGACGCCGCGUGAGGGAUGACGGCCUUCGGGUUGUAAACCUCUUUCAGCAGGGAAGAAGCAAAAGUGACGGUACCUGCAGAAGAAGCACCGGCUAACUACGUGCCAGCAGCCGCCGUAA